GUCAUUAUUUGUUUUCAAGGGGGGGGGGGGGAGUUCGGACAACCCCCCCCCCCCCCCCCCCCCCCCUUGAAAACAAAUAAUGACUGUU
rnacentral:sRNA from 1 species